CCGAGUUUACAACUCCCAAACCCAAUGUGAACGUUACCAAACUGUUGCCUCGGCGGGAUCUCUGCCCCGGGUGCGUCGCAGCCCCGGACCAAGGCGCCCGCCGGAGGACCAACCAAAACUCUUAUUGUAUACCCCCUCGCGGGUUUUUUUUAUAAUCUGAGCCUUCUCGGCGCCUCUCGUAGGCGUUUCGAAAAUGAAUCAA
rnacentral:misc_RNA from 1 species